rnacentral:rRNA from 1 species
GACGAACGCUGGCGGCGUGCCUAAUACAUGCAAGUCGAACGCAUUUUCUUUCACCGUAGCUUGCUACACCGAAAGAAAAUGAGUGGCGAACGGGUGAGUAACACGUGGGUAACCUGCCCAUCAGCGGGGGAUAACACUUGGAAACAGGUGCUAAUACCGCAUAAUUCCAUUUACCGCAUGGUAAAUGGAUGAAAGGCGCUUUUGCGUCACUGAUGGAUGGACCCGCGGUGCAUUAGCUAGUUGGUGGGGUAACGGCCUACCAAGGCUGCGAUGCAUAGCCGACCUGAGAGGGUGAUCGGCCACACUGGGACUGAGACACGGCCCAGACUCCUACGGGAGGCAGCAGUAGGGAAUCUUCGGCAAUGGACGCAAGUCUGACCGAGCAACGCCGCGUGAUUGAAGAAGGUUGUCGGAUCGUAAAACUCUGUUGUUAGAGAAGAACAAGGAUGAGAGUGGAAAGUUCAUCCCUUGACGGUAGCUAACCAGAAAGCCACGGCUAACUACGUG